UGGGGAAUUUUGGACAAUGGGGGAAACCCUGAUCCAGCCAUCCCGCGUGUGCGAUGAAGGCCUUCGGGUUGUAAAGCACUUUUGGCAGGAAAGAAACGUCAUGGGUUAAUACCCCGUGAAACUGACGGUACCUGCAGAAUAAGCACCGGCUAACUACGUGCCAGCAGCCGCGGUAAUACGUAGGGUGCAAGCGUUAAUCGGAAUUACUGGGCGUAAAGCGUGCGCAGGCGGUUCGGAAAGAAAGAUGUGAAAUCCCAGAGCUCAACUUUGGAACUGCACUUUUAACUACCUGGCUAGAGUGUGUCAGAGGGAGGUGGAAUUCCGCGUGUAGCAGUGAAAUGCGUAGAUAUGCGGAGGAACACCGAUGGCGAAGGCAGCCUCCUGGGAUAACACUGACGCUCAUGCACGAAAGCGUGAGGAGCAAACAGG
rnacentral:rRNA from 1 species